UACGGAGGGAGCUAGCGUUGUUCGGAAUUACUGGGCGUAAAGCGCACGUAGGCGGCUUUGUAAGUUAGAGGUGAAAGCCCGGGGCUCAACUCCGGAACUGCCUUUAAGACUGCAUCGCUUGAAUCCAGGAGAGGUGAGUGGAAUUCCGAGUGUAGAGGUGAAAUUCGUAGAUAUUCGGAAGAACACCAGUGGCGAAGGCAGCGAAUUGGCCCUAUAUUGACGCUCAGGCACGAAAGCAUGGGGAUCAAACAGG
rnacentral:rRNA from 1 species